rnacentral:rRNA from 1 species
GAUGAACGCUGGCGGCGUGCCUAAUACAUGCAAGUCGAGCGAACAGACGAGGAGCUUGCUCCUCUGACGUUAGCGGCGGACGGGUGAGUAACACGUGGAUAACCUACCUAUAUGACUGGGAUAACUUCGGGAAACCGGAGCUAAUACCGGAUAAUAUAUUGAACCGCAUUGUUCAUUAGUGAAAGACGGUUUUCCUGUCGCGUAUAGAUGGAUCCCCGCCGCAUUAGCUAGUUGGUAAGGUAACGGCUUACCAAGGCAAGGUUGCCUAGCCGACAUGAGGGGGUGAUCGGCCACACGGGAACUGGGACACGGUCCAGACUCCUGCGGGAGGCAGCAGUAGGGAAUCGUCCGCAAUGGGCGAAAGCCUGACGGAGCAACGACGCGUGAGGGAUGAAGGUCUUCGGAUCGUAAAACUCUGUUAUUAGGCAAGAACAAAUGUGUAAGUAACGAGGCACGUCGUGACGGUACCUGGUCAGGAAGCCACGGCUAACUACGUG